CAAAAGUUCAAGGCCAAUCAGGCAACGUGGUCAGAGUCUACCAUCCCCUAAAAGAAAAGAAACUGAAUUGUUACAAAUAACCCAGAUUUGACUGAUCGCAUCUGUCUCCAAGGUGUUAUUUCUUCUGCUCUCUAUAGCCUUGCUGCUGAAAUGCUGUCCGCAGACCAGAAGCAUCCCAUCACCAGGGGGUUUGUUAGAAACACGGAAUCUUGGACACCUCUUUGAAUCUACUGAAUCAGAAUCUGCAUUUUUUUUCUUGUUUAAAUUCUUUCAAUGGUACAUUUUAGGGCCAAGAUCAAAGGACAGCCCCAGUUUGAGACACAGCAGAGGAAAAGAGGAUGACAAAACCAG
rnacentral:lncRNA from 1 species